AUUGAACGCUGGCGGCAGGCCUAACACAUGCAAGUCGAACGAGUGGCGGACGGGUGAGUAAUGCCUGGGAAACUGCCCGAUGGAGGGGGAUAACUACUGGAAACGGUAGCUAAUACCGCAUACCAUCGGAUGUGCCCAGAUGGGAUUAGCGAGUAGGUGGGGUAAUGGCUCACCUAGGCGACGAUCCCUAGCUGGUCUGAGAGGAUGACAGGACACACUGGAACUGUGACACGGUCAAGACUCCUACGGGAGGCAGCAGUUGGGAAUAUUGCACAAUGGGCGAAAGCCUGAUGCAGCCAUGCCGCGUGUAUGGAGAAGGCCUUCGGGUUGUAAAGUACUUUCAGCGAGGAGGCGUUACUCGCAGAGGAAGCACCGGCUAACUCCGUGCCAGCAGCCGCGGUAAUUC
rnacentral:rRNA from 1 species